CGGUCCAAAUCUCCGACUCGCAGCAUCCCACGCCAGUGGUCCCGCAGUCCACGCCACAGCUCUUCACGCCCACAGGACAGCUCUCCACACCAGCGCUCCAGCUCUUCUUAUGAGUUCUCCCAAAGACCAGCUAGGGGGAACCAGCACAGAGAGGGUGGAGAGCUAUUCCCAUUAGAUAAUGGAAAAUUCCAAAGGCGGGUCCUUUAUCUUCUUUCUGAUAUUCGGGCAAAGCUGUCAGAGGUGGGCCAAAACCGUGAGCCCCCAGAGUCUCAGUUCCACCUUGAGAAAAUGAACAGCAGGCGUGAGCUAAAAAAUCUGGAAGGGCAACUGGACGUUGAAAAAAAGAGGAAUGUGAUGGUGUCUCGCUUAGUCAGGAUUGGGGGUGCAGACCUUGAGGACUGUGUAAAAAAUAUGAUGAAAAGAGUUCUUACCAACAGAUUGAUGGCAACAAUGAACAUGGACAGCUCAGGGGUGAAGAAGGCCUUUGGAAAAACACUGCUAUGCCAUGUUAUAAUAGGUACUACAUUACUAUUUUUUAUGAUUAGAUGAUGUACUGUUGUAUCUAUCCAGUGUUACCCAUUGUGCGGCAAACUUUUAGCCAUCACAGAUGCACAGUGGCAAUACUGUAGGGGUGUAACAAUUAAUUGUGCAAUUAUUAUGCUCAGUUUCUCAAUAAAUUAUGGUCAAAUGCUGCCA
ensembl:lncRNA